rnacentral:lncRNA from 1 species
UAAUUAUGAUAAUCAUAUAACUUUAAUUUUUACGACUGAAAUUGUUAUAAAUGAAAUUGUACGACACAGACAAGCGGUAAGUGAUAUUAAAUCUAGUUUUUAAUCUUAAGCAAAUUGGUUUACACGUUGCUGUAUUAGUAUACCAUUCCCAAAUUGUGGAAUCAUUGUCAACUGAGACAACGGUUCACUGUUUGUUUAAUUGAAUAGAAUUCCGUUUUUAAUAAUGUUAAUUGUAUUCUACAUUGCACUUGGUAAAAACUAAGUUGUAUAGGCAAACAACUGUGAUGAAGUCGUCAGAUAGUUUUGCUUAAAAUUGAAACAAGGGAGUUGUUAACAAUUGUAGUAAAUUAUGUUGUCGUUUGUUCUCUGUUCUUUAGUUUCUAGUGUUUAAACUUUAAACUUAGUUUAUAUAUGUAACAACACAUCUACAAACUAAUGUACUUGUUUCUCAAAUUACUCUUUAAAGUCUCGCUAUUUAGCAGUAAUCAUUAAUCUGAAUAAAUAAUAUGCCUUAUCAUGUAAAGAUCUAAAUACGUUGACAAAUGCUGUAACUCAUAUGUCUGUAGUUAUUUAAAAAAGAUCAUCCAACAUGAUAUUUCGGAAUAUAUGAGGCAAACACGUGUGCUAAUUUAAAAAAAAAUAUUCUUAAUUCCUUUUCAGGUUGAUCUAUAGUGGUGGAAAUGUCAAACAAAACUAAAAUUUUAGAUCUGAAGGUACGCAUAAAGUUUUGAUUGGAUAAUGAUAACAUAUAGCUCAUUGCUAGGAAAAUUAUACGGUAGUUAUUUUAUGAAAUAAACUCAAACAUAUGCAUAAGUGCAUAUUUGGCUACAAUAUUGAAAGUACAUGCAUACGCAUAUGUAAAUUAGAUUAAUAAUCCUGCGGAAAUAAAGUAUAAUUCAUUUCAUUUUUGUGUAUUAUCUUUAAAUAUAAGCUCGUUUGACUAAAGCUUUACUUUCAAACAGCAUAUGUGAAAUCUUAAACAUUUCCCAGAAAUCAAUCAGCGGAUUUUUUGUGAUUCAUUUAUACAUUUGUUUAAUCAAAGUAUACCCGUAUUAUAGUAAAAAUGCAACACAUUUUGAAAAAUUGCAAAAAGUGUUUUUAUAUGUAAUUUUUUUUUGGCGAAAUGAUACAUGAUUGAGACAUGUACUUGUAUAUUACAAAUGGUUUUUAGUCUUACUGAAAUGCGUUAAGCUCUAUAAAAUGUAAUAAGAAUUAUUAAAUCCGAUUUCAAAACAUAUACAUACUUUGCACUUGUAAUGAUAAUCGUGCAUGUCGUGUCAAUACUUGUUGUUCAAAAUCUCAAGUCUUAGAGAACUAACAUUAGUAGUCUUUAACAAUAAGUGUACAGUCUAUAUAAACUUUUUACGCUUAUCUAAUACUACGGGAAUGGCAAUAUCAUUGCAUAUCAUAUAUGUUUUAUUUUUUUAUUUUAGGUCUCACUGACUGAUUAUAACGCCGCAAAACGGGGUCUAUAAAUCCAUUGAAUUAUACGAAAGACAUUUCAAUGAAUUGAAAUUGACUUAUUAAAUUUGAAAACAAAACAUGUAUAAAUGUGAAAAGAAUAGUACGUUAACAUGUUAAAUUCUAAAAAAGAUUGCUAUGAAGAUGAGUGAAUUAUACAACCAUAAAGAGUGAGGAUGAUAUACCCAAACACUUAAGUGGACAGUGAUUUUCAAUAUUAUGAAUAUUACGCCA